UCCCUAGUAGCUCAAUGGUAGAGCAUUCGGCUGUUAACCGAAUUGUUGUAGGUUCAAAUCCUACCUGGGGAG
rnacentral:tRNA from 1 species